AGUGUCUAAUACCAGACGAUUUUGCUCCUCUGAUUUUGCUCGUUAAGGGUUUGAGAAUGUUCGACACGUCUCCAGUAUUUUUAUUGCUUACUUUAUUUUUUUCAGUUUUUCUACGUUUUACAUCAUCCAUGUAUAUUAUUAUACUUACAAGAUUUAUAAUACCGGGUGGCCCAAAAAAAGUACUCCUGUUUGAUUCGUAAUAACAUCUAAACAAGUAUAGCUUUUAAAGAGAAAUAACUUGCAUCAAAUAGAGGAAGGACUAACUUAGACUUUGAUAUAUUACAGUUGAAUUUCACUUAAAAAUUCACGGAGAUAUUAAUCUUUAAAUUCGGGAGGAUAUUUCUGGAUGUGUCUGAAAUAUGCAAAA